CGCGUAGCCGGCCCUGCGAAUAUGGCGUCAGCUUCGGCUUCCGGUCUGAGGGCGCCGAGAGCCCAGCCAAACUCUGCGGACGGCCAUUCCUGGGUACCUUUCCUACGUUUUCGGCCUUUGGGCUGAGCCUUGGUAACCCCAGAGCUUGGUUGCAUGCCCACCGGCGACAAGUGGCUUUGCAUUGGGACAUGAAAGGGGACUGGAAAGUGCCGUGCAGUUUCAGGGUGAUUUCUGGUUAUUAUUACAUAUUCACGAGUUUUCGCAGAGUGUGGGGGCGAUUUGUGUCCUCCAGAGACCAGGGACCAGGGCCGAAGCUACGGCAGGGGAGACGCGGCCAGGGCUGUGGCUUCUUGUGCGAGCCCCGUUCGCGUCGCUUCCCGCCUGGCGCCAGGCGCCCUGGGAGCCCAGGGCCUUGAAUGAGACGGUGCUCGCCCUUGAAAAAGCAGUUCUAGGUCAUUCAGCCUGCUUUUCCAGCAUGCCGGGCCCCGGCUCACCUCUCGCCAUCCAUGUUGACAGCACCAGUUCUACUACGAAGCAGGAGAUUGCUCUUGCCUGGAAUUUCACUCGUCCCCGGUAUCGAACCUCCACCCCAAUUUUCUACCUUACAACUCUUGCGCAUUUUUAACGGCUCAGCCAAUAUUACCUGCCCCGUUCUGGAGCUCCUUAGGAGUGCAGGCUCUGGAACAGAAGGUGGAGUGGCUUACCUGAUUGGUGAUUUUGGAAGGAGAAACUGAGGACCUGAGGACCUGAGUUCAAUCCCUUUCCUCUCCCCUUCCUCUUGGGAGUGACUGGACUUUUCCAGGGCAGGCUCUGCCCCUUGUUGGGAAGCCUCUGUUGUUGGCCAGUGCUGCCACUUACGGGGAAUACGUCUAUCUGUCUGUCUGACUCUGUGCUUCUGUAUUAGGAAGUCCAUGCUUUGUUAUUAGUAAAGGUGACAUUUUGACCUCCA